rnacentral:rRNA from 1 species
UACGGAGGGAGCUAGCGUUGUUCGGAAUUACUGGGCGUAAAGCGCACGUAGGCGGCUAUUCAAGUCAGAGGUGAAAGCCCGGGGCUCAACCCCGGAACUGCCUUUGAAACUAGAUAGCUAGAAUCUUGGAGAGGUCAGUGGAAUUCCGAGUGUAGAGGCGAAAUUCGUAGAUAUUCGGAAGAACACCAGUGGCGAAGGCGACUGACUGGACAAGUAUUGACGCUG